rnacentral:tRNA from 3 species
GGGUCCUUAGCUCAGUUGGUAGAGCGCGUCGUUCGCAAUGACGAGGUCAGGGGUUCAAUUCCCCUAGGAUCCA